AUACCUGGCUGGCGUCCACCACACUUGGGGCCCUCCUCUUUCGGCUUUGGAGCCCCCCUCCCUCUGUCUCUGUAAGGGGAAGCCUCUAAGUUCUGCCUUCUUUCUUGCCUAUUAAACUCUCCGCUCUUUAAAACCACUCCACGUGUGUCAGUGUUGUUUUACCUAAUUCAAGGUAAGACAAGAGCCCUGGUGUCCCUCCACUCAUGGGAGCCGUAUCAGCAGUGAGCCGAGAUCACGCCACUGCACUACCGCCUUGGUGACAGAGCGGGACUCCGUCUCAAGGAAAAAAAUAAAAGACACUAGCUAUCAAGCCAUGACAAGACAUGGAGGCACCUUAAGUGGGGAUAUUAACCAAGUGAAAGAAGCCAAUCUGGCAAGUCCACCGCGCCCUGCCUGCCUUCCUCCUUUCUGGUCAUCAAACUGUUUGCUUCUAACAGUGCCCAGUGAGUAGGAUUCUAUUGAGUGCCAGGUGUAGGAGGAGAGAUGCCAGCAGGAAAAAGGAGAAGCAAUGCUGGCUGCUUCAUGGUACCUGUUAGCUUGAAAACACAAAGAUGCUCUCCCUGCGUCUUGUUUGACAAGCGAUCGGCGGGAGGCGCGCUUGUUGGCAUGAACAGGAACCACUGCCUGCUUUCCUUGACAUGGAAGAGCAUGAACUUCUUUGAGCAGAUCUGUGUGGCAAUGUCACCCUGAAAUGAAAGUGCCCGGAGGGUCACAGGACACCCUGCUGAGGAUAGAAGAGCCAGUAAUCCCAGGGCUAUGGAAUUGAACAGCAGAGCAGCCCAGCGAUAAUGGAGGGGAAAUGUCACAGAGGCCCUGAAAAGAACCCUGUGCCUUUGAGGAGUGAUGCAAGUGACCUGCAGGAUUCACUGGUGCCCCACAGAGCUGCACAAGCUGGCCCAGGAUUUGGAGAAGCAGAAGAUUCGACAAGACCAAUAAGGGCUGUGGACUCAGCUGCUGUUUCACGCUCACAAGGUGGCCAGGAGACCAGCAAUUGUGUGCUUGAGCCCACAUCAACCUUCAGAGCAUAGAAAUGGCUGCUAUUUCACUUCCACUUCCAAAUCUCAUGAACUCCUCUUAUGGCCAACCCUAGCCUAGAACAGUACAAGAAAGGGAAUUCUGAAAAUUCCUUAGUAUUUCUGGUUAAAGUGAUGUACAUAGGCACCAAACUCACGUAAGGAUAGCCUCUCCCAUAGGAAUGUGGCCAAGCUUACACAAGUGUACAGCAGGGUUGGAGGUCUCCCUGGCCCCUUCAGUUCUACUGCUCAUGUCUUUCCCUGCCUUUAGGGCUAGCAGCAAAUGAUGCAAGUGUGUGCUGGUGUGGGUAAAAAUCCAGGGCUCCAGGCGGAGGGCUGUCUUGCUAUAGACACAAAUCUCUUUGAGGAUAGACUUGUAUUCCCAGCAAAAACCUGGUCCCUGCGGGAAGGGAAUGGAGCCAAGAAUGCAUAUAGACAUCUGAGCGUCUCCAAACGUGGCUGAGAGCAGGGGUUAUUGGAAUGUACUUCUUUUUUUUUUUUUUUUUUUUGAGACAGAGUCUUGCACUGUUACCCGGGCUGGAGUGCAAUGGCACAAUCUUGGCUCACUGCAACCUCCACUUCCUGUGUUCAAGCAAUUCUCCUGCCUCAGCCUCCCAAGUAGCUGGGAUUACAGGUGCCUACCAUUAUGUCCAGCUAACUUUUUGUAUUUUUAGUGGAGACGGGGUUUCACUGUGUUGGCCAGGCUGGUCUCAAACUCCUGACCUCAUAAUCUGCCCACCUUGGCCUCCCAAAGUGCUGGGAUUACAGGCAUCAGCCACCAUUCCCGGCCAGGGAUGCACUUCUUACAGGCAGCAGAAAUAGCCCCUCUCUACCCCAAACUCCGUUUAGAAUUUGAGUUCACCACAGAUUAUGUAUAAAAAUCAACAUUAACAAUAAUGAUAACUAAUAUUUUGAUAGUGAUUAGUAUUUGCCAGGCACUAUUACAAAUAUUUUAUAUACACACCACUUUAACUCAUGUAACAAAUCCAUCAGCACUAAUGGACUAGGCCCUGCUUGGUUAAAAAAAGAAAAGGUGACAACCACAGACUAAUACUAUUUAGGUAUAAGUUACCACAGAUGAUUUCAAGAUUUGACAUUACGUUUUUUAAAAACUUUCAUCUUAUCAAGAGCUAUUUUCAUGGAAAUGGAGUUUCACUGAACAAGAAUAUUGUAAUCUGCCAACAAGGUCGAAGUACCCUAAGCUUCUCCCGUCAAGAGACGGAGUCUAUUUCUCACCCCUUGAGUCUGGGCUGGCCUGUGACUUGCUUUGGAAUGCCAUGCAAGUGACAGCUCACCAGUUUUGAGCAUAGCCCUCAAGAGACUUUAUAGCUUCAGUUCUCUCUUAAAAUCUAGUUUUGCCACAUGGGACAAGCCUAAAAGAAAAGACACUACAUGGAGAGAGGCCCCAGAUCAUCCUGGCUGAGGCCCCAGACAAGUGAGUGUGUCCAGGGAACAACAGCCAAGCUUAGCCCAGACUGAAAGGACCUCCCAGCUAAGCCCAGAAUCAGGAACUGAAUAAAUUAUUGUUGUUCUUA